rnacentral:rRNA from 1 species
UACGAAGGGUGCAAGCGUUACUCGGACUUACUGGGCGUAAAGCGCGCGUAGGCGGCUUUGCAAGUCGGGUGUGAAAUCCCCAGGCUUAACCUGGGAACUGCAUUCGAGACUGCAUUGCUAGAGUAUGGGAGAGGGAAGUGGAAUUUCCGGUGUAGCGGUGAAAUGCGUAGAUAUCGGAAGGAACAUCAGUGGCGAAAGCGACUUCCUGGACCAAUACUGACGCUCAUGUGCGAAAGCGUGGGGAGCAAACAGG